GCUGGGCGUGGUGGCGGAUGCCUGUGAUCCUAGCAGUUUGGGAGGCUGAGGCAGGAGAAUCGCAAGUUCGAAGACAGCCUCAGCAACUUAGCAAACUCUGUUUCUA
rnacentral:sRNA from 1 species